rnacentral:rRNA from 1 species
CGGAUUGGAGUCUGCAACUCGACUCCAUGAAGCUGGAUUCGCUAGUAAUCGCGCAUCAGCCAUGGCGCGGUGAAUACGUUCCCGGGCCUUGUACACACCGCCCGUCAAGCCAUGGGAGUCGGGGGUACCUGAAGUCCGUAACCGUAAGGAGCGGCCUAGGGUAAAACUGGUAAUUGGGGCUAAGUCGUAACAAGGUAGC